rnacentral:rRNA from 1 species
AUGGACAAGGAGCAACAGCGCCAUGGCGAGCUCGAGGCGCCGCUGCUUCCCGGCGACGGCGGGAAGGCUGCCGCCGCGGCCGGAAGCGCUUACGCGCUCGUCUGCUCCCUCGUCGCCUCCGCCAUCUCCGUCAUCUACGGUUACAAUCGAGGUGUGAUGAGCGGGGCGCAGAAGUUCGUGCAGGACGACCUGGGGAUCAGCGACGCGCAGAUCGAGGUGCUCAUCGGGGCCACCAGCAUCUACUCCCUCGUCGGCUCGCUGGCCGCGGGUUGGGCGUGCGACUGCGCCGGGCGCCGCCGCACUAUGGCGCUCUCCGCUGCCAUGUUCUUCGCCGGCUCGGCGAUCACCAGCGUGGCGGGAGGAUACGCGGUGCUGAUGGCCGGACAGCUCGUCGCCGGGGUCGCGUGUGGGUUCGGCCUCGUCGUCGCGCCCGUCUACAUCGCCGAGAUGGCGCCGGCGGCGUCCCGUGGCUUCCUCUCCUCCAUCCCCGAGAUCGCCGGCAACGCGGGCAUCCUGCUCAGCUACAUCGCCGACUUCGCCCUUGCCGGCUUUCCCAACAACGUCAACUGGCGCCUAAUGAUCGGCGUCGGCGCCGUCCCGCCGCUAUUUCUCGCAGUCGCCACGCUCCUCGCCAUGCCGGAGACCCCGCGCUGGCUCGUACUCCACGGCCACCACGACGAGGCCCGCCGUGUCCUCGCCCGCACCACGGGCGAUGCGGCCCUCGCUGACCGCCGCCUCAAGGAGAUCGUUUCCUCCGCGCAGGAAAGCUCCAAGCAGGCCGUCCCCGGCGGCAGCGACGAGAGGACCCGGUCGACAAGCGUCUGGCGCGACAUACUGAUCCGGCCGACGCGGUCUGUCCGUCGCGUGCUGCUCGCCAUCCUCGGCCUCCAGUUCUUCCAGCAGGCGUCCGGCGUGGCGGCGCUCGUGUUGUACGCGCCGCGGGUGUUCCACCACGCCGGAGUGACCUCCCAGUCCGCGGUUCUCGGUGCCACGAUCCUCCUCGGCGUCGCCAAGAUUGUGGCCAUUGUGAUCCCGCUCUUUCUGGCCGACCGGCUGGGCCGGCGUCCCAUGCUGCUCACCAGUGCGGGCGGCAUGACCGUGUCUCUGCUCGUGCUAGGCUUCUCCCUUCGAGCGUCGCCUACGGCGCACGCGGGAGCGAGCGCCGCGUGGUGGGCCGCUGCAACGAGCGUGACGGCCGCCGCAGCGUUCAUGGCGACCUUCUCGCUGGGGUUCGGGCCAGUAAUUUGGAUGUACGGGUCAGAGAUCCUGCCGCUCCGGCUACGCGCGCAGGGCACUGGCAUCGGCACGGCGGUGAACCGGGUGAUGAGCGCCGUGGUGGGGAUGACGUUCAUAUCGCUGUACGAGGCUGUGGGCAUGGCCGGAAGCUUCUACAUCUUCGCGGGGUGCGCAGCAGCGUCCUGGGUUUUCGUCUACGCACUCCUGCCGGAGACCAAGGGGAGGACCCUCGAGGAGAUGGAGGCGCUCUUCGACGAUUCCGCCAACGACGCAGUGAUCAAUCAUGUGCGAGUGCAAGCAGGCGCGGCGCGCCCGGGGGGAAGUUUGUAA